rnacentral:lncRNA from 1 species
UCCGCGCACGCGCACGACGCCGCAGGCCCCGGCCCCGGCCCGCGGCAGCUGAACGGCAGAGCCUGUAGCUGCACAGCUGUGCUUCCACCUGGCGUUCAGUACCUCGUGCCCGAGAGCGGAAAAGGGAAAUCGCGAGCGGAGGACCGAUGUGCUGGCCACGUGGGCCCCGCCGGGCCGACUCCGGACCCUGCUGCCGCCCAUUCCUCCGGUGCAAGGGACCUGGAAGUGAUCCCGGUGCCGCUCUGCUCCCACCAGCUAGGGAGCAGAGGCGCGGGAGGGAAGGGGCGUCCCGGGGGUCGCCAGCACGCUGCGGGCAGGGCUGGCAGCCGCCUCCACGCCCCCGCGCUGGAAGCCUCGUCUUUGUAACAUCGAGGUAUCCUGUAACUAGAUGGGUCCUGGCCUGCGGAGGUAGUUUCCCCUGUGAAGCCAGGGACUCAGCCAGGAGCGUGAGGGGACCCGGAUCCUGAGUCUCCAAGCCGCCCACUACCCUCUGCUUUACCGGAUGGAACUCAUCAGUAACUAGGUAUCUUUAAGGGCGGCUCCCUGGCGCGCUCUGAGAGUUACGGAAGUCCCAAAAUGCUUUGACCGAAAACGUCUAAACAGUGAAUACAUAAAGCAAAAAGCCGCGUGGGAAAUUCGAGUCCCUAGGAGCGCCCAGGGGACGCCUCUGGAGGUGGACUGCCACUCACUCCAGGCCACGCUGGAAUGCCCGCACCAGGGAGGCACUGCACUUGAAUUGGGGACACUUUUUUUUUUUUUUUUCAUUUUUACCUUUCAUUCCCUUUUGGACAAUCCAGACAGGAUAUGUCUCUCCCUAGGGUGGGGAUUUCGACUCCUUAGGGUGGGAGUACAGCCGAUGAAGAGUUAAGGAGAGGAGUGGGUAGAUCUAGAUCUAGCCUUGGGUGGGUGGGGGCGGGGUUGGAGGAGCUCAGAGCACUGGCCCAGCGCUGCCCCCAACUUGCUGUGUGCUCUUGGACAAGUUAUCUCCCUUCUCUGGGCUUCAGAUAACCCAAGGAUCCUUACAUAUCUUUAUAGCUACAAAGCCCUGUGAGGUUUUGAAAAACUUCCUUGGUACCCAAAACCAGGUCUGAGGCACAGUCAGUGAAUACCUGUUUAAUGAAUGCAUGCAUAAAUGAAUGAAUGGAUGAUCCAGCUCUUCCUGGAGCAGGCACGACUUCCACAGAAACAGAGCAAACGCUAGCCGUAAGCAGAAAGAACGUUAUAGCUCCAGCGCUGAAUGAGACAUCUUUGAUUCUGUGGUGAUGCGGACUUUGUGCCUCUCUGUGAGGAAUCACUUUGUUCCAAUGACGCAAUUUUCCUCACACUCCGGAAGUGUCCUGCACUGCCAGAAUCGCCCAGCUUCCCGGCACACCUAUCAACCAGUCGUUCCCAGCACUGCCCAGUAUGCAGCCUCCAGGCAGAGGGCCUGGAUGUCUUGGCAGGUGUUUCCGAAAAAUCCAAUCCACCCUCCAAGGUGGAAAGUGUGCCAUCUCUGCCCAUAAUCCAAAUGGCGUGCCUGAGGCAUAGAAAGCAGCUUUCAGGGAGGCCUUCCUUCCUCUGAGCAAUGGUGGCAUCAUCAGAAAAGUGGAGCUCCUCCAAAAGGAUCUGCUGGAAGCAGAGGACGCCCAUGUCGCCUGGUGACUCCCUCUGACCCAACAAGUUGCAGCACCUCUGCUGGGCUUUGCCACUGCCCCAUUUUUGCCAGAGCCUCACCCUGGUGGGGCCCCACCUCUGGGAAGCCCCAGCGCCUGCAAGAUUUUUUCCUCUCGUGACAGGGAGCAGCAUGCGGAGGGCCCUUGCACAACCUGGGUCUUCAGGAAGUUCCUUGCCCAGGUGUUGGCCCAGCUCUCUUCAUGGUUCCAAGAAGGCUGCCCCAGGAAGGCUUGUGGACAGAGGGAGAAGCAUCUCUUCCUCUAUGUCUCUUUUUAUCUAAGAAACCAGUUUGACCAGCAUCCUUCCCCUCGGCUCCCCAGGAGGAAUGCACGGAUCCCUUCGCCUUCCCCCAUCCCUCCAUGGUUGACUAAACCCACUAGGAUCCACUCUUUUGCGUGGAAAUGGGUUCAGGCCUCCCACGAAGAGCAUGAAGAUGCCCUCUGUUAUGGGUUACAUUAUGUCCCCUGCCCCCGAGACCGUAUGUUGAGUCCUAACCCUAGUAUUGCAGAACGUGAAUUUAUUAGGAGAUAGGGUCUUUAUGGAGGUCAUUAAGUUAAAUGAGGGUGUUAGGGUGGGCUGGUGUCCUGAUAUAAAGGGGAAAUUUGGGGCUGGGUGUAGUGGCUCACACAUAUAAUCCCAGUGCCUCGAGAGGCCAAGGCAGGAGGAUUGCUUGAGGGCAGGAGUUCAAGACCAGCUUGGGUAACAUAGGGAGACCGGUAUCUAUAAAAAAAAUUAAAAACAAAAAAAUUAGCCGAGUGUGGUGGUGCAUGCCUGUAGUCCCAGCUACUCAGGAGGCUGAGGUGGGAGGAUCGCUUGAGUCCAGGAAUUUGAGGCUGCAGUGAGCCAUAAAAAGAUGGGGGACGAUGGAGACGCACAGGGAAAACACCUUGUGAAUGCGGCAGAGAUAAGGGUGAUGCCUCUACACACCGAGGAACUUCAGAGACAACCAGUAAGUCACUGGGAGCUCGGGGAAGGCACAGCGCAGAUGCUCGCUGCCCUCAGAGGGAAGCCAGCCCGCCAACCCCUUGAUCUCAGACCUCUGGCCCCUGGAACUGUGAGAUGAUAGAUUUCUGUCGUUUAAGCACAGUGGUGCUGUGUUAUAGCAGCCCUAGGGAACCAUCCACUAUCAGAACAAAAGCAGGGCUGGACUGCUAGAAGAAAGGAGAGGAGAAUGGCAGAGGAUACCCACCUUGGGGCUGAAUCUGAGAUCACUCCAGGGCUCCCCAGGUUGUUUUGAAGAAUGGAGAUGGAUUUGUGCAGGGCUCACUGUAGAAGCUCAGUGCAGCAUGCGACGCUUAUAAGGCUGCAAUCCCCAGAGCUCAGUCCCUGAAGAGCGCUGCAUUCACAGACAUCAGCCAGCAGACAAACCAGUACCUAUUGUCCCUGACCCCCAGAAUCCAGCAGACAUAUAAAAGAUGGUUGUUAACCCCACUAAGUUUUGGGGUAAUUUGUUAUGCAGCCAUGCAACUGAAAGAAGCAGCUACAAUAUUUUUAUAAUGAAAUUCUUAGCCAGGACCCUCAUAGCCUAGCAAGAAGUUCUGUCUGGAAGAGCCCAGCUUUGGGGUUGGGUAUGUCUGGGUUUUAAUAUGUCAAGAGGGCAGGCCCUGGAGACGGAGCACAUGGAUUUGAAUCCCAGCCUCUCAUAGGCAGGUUAAUUAAUUUCCCUGAAUCUCAGUUUCUUCAUCUCUCAAUGGAGAAAAUAAUAGAAGCCACCUCACGGGAAUUAAAUGAGAUUAUUUACGCACAGCACCAAGGCUGUGGCUACUGUAUUUGACCCCUGAAACAGUUAAUUUUUCUUGACAUCCCUUCCUUGGUAUAUGUAUUAGUCAGGGUUCUCUAGAGGGACAGAACUAAUAGGAUAUCUCUCUCUCUAUAGAUUUAUAUAAAGGGGAGUUUAUUAAGUAUUAACUUACACAAUCACAAGGUCCUGCAAUAGGUCGUCUGCAGGCUGAGGAGCAAGGAGAGCCAGUUCAAGUCCCAAAACUGAAGAACUUGGAGUCUGAUGUUCGAGUCCAGGAAGCAUCCAGCACAGGAGAAAGAUGGAAGCUGGGAGGCCAGGCCUGACUCUCCUUUUCAUGUUUUUCUGCCUGCUUUAUAUCCGCUGGCAGCUGAUUAGGUGGUGCCCACCAGAUUAAGGGUGGAUCUGCCUUCCCCAGCCCACUGACUCAAAUGUUAAUCUCUUUUGGCAACACCCUCACAGACACACCCAGGAUCAAUACUGUCAGUUCAAUCAAGUUGACACUCAGUAUGAACCAUCGCAAUACAAUAGGAUUACUUUCUGUGAUAACCUGUGUAAAAAUAGGCAGUCAUGAUUUUCCUGUUGUGUUCUUCAGGUGUAAAACAAAAAAUUUUAAAAGAAGAAACUUCAAUUUUAAAGAUAUUAUUCAAACUAAGUUAAACAUUUUGUGUAUAAAUUAAAACAAUAAAUUUUGUUUGCAUGUAUCAAACAAAAAUAUUCCAUCUUGCAGUUAACAUUUUCACUGUUUAAAUUUUCAACACCAAAAUCCCAUGUGUAAUGAUGGAAUUUAACUGGUUAAAUGCUGCCUCUUUGCCUUCACAAUCACAGUGGUACUGUUUCUUGCAAAUGUCAUGAGAGUUGGAGAUAUGUCUUGCUCCUGUUUUGGGCGCAAAGGUGAGGUGGUCAGUUGUUGGUCUGGGACUUUCAGUGCUAAAAUCAGAAAAGUCCUGGGUGAACCGGAACAAGUUGGCCCGCCAGCUGAAGGACUGAAAAAACUUUGGACACUUUCCCAAUGAACACGUAGCCAAAUCUGUGUGAAUCAGAGGCCAGCUGUGGAACCAGGAGUUCUCUGAAUUAAUUUAGGUGCGGAAUAUGUUUAUGAAAGGACAACUAAUAAAAACCUGAAGUUCACAU